GGUGGCUGAAGAGGUGGAUGUUGCCAGAAGCCCUCAGGGGGACAGCCAGGAAAGACAGAGCUGGCAGUCAGGGAAGCAGAGGGUGGAGGCCUGGCAGCAGGAAGACCCCAGCACCCCUUCCUUCUGCGGGGAAGCCACCCCGCCCGCUGCCUGCCCAGCUCCUGCAGCCUCAGAAGAGGAGGCGCCACCCGCUGCCCC